rnacentral:rRNA from 1 species
AGGGCCCCCCCAGGAGUGGACCCUGCGUCUUAAUUUGACUCAACACGGGAAAACUCACCCGGCCCGGACACCGGAAGGAUUGACAGACUGAGAUCUCUUUCUUUAGGGGGGGGGGGGGGGUGCGUGGCCGUUCUUGGGUGGGGGAGCUAUUUGUCUGGUUAAUCCCUAUAACGCACGACACUCUGGCCUAUUAAAUAGACGAUAUAUCUAAAAGUAUCUCGCACUUCUGAGAGGGACACGCGGUGCCUAGCCGCAUGAAAUAGAACAUAACAGGUCUGUGAUGCCCUUAGACGUCCGGGGCUGCACGCGCGCUAUAAUGAAAAUAAUCAGCGGGCGUUCCCCUAGUUCGGAAGAGCUGGGUCACCCAAGUCUCUUCUUUCGUGCUUGGAAUAGUUAAUUGCUAUUAUCUCCCAUCAAACGAGUACUUCCCAGUUGAUGCUGGUCAUAAGCUCGUGUUGAUUACCUCCCUGCCCUUUGUACACACCGCCCGUCGCUACUACCGAUUGGAUGACUUAAUGA